CGUCUAUAUACGUAUAGCAUAUCAAUAAGCGGAGGAAAAGAAACUAACUAGGAUUCCCUCAGUAACGGCGAGUGAAGCGGGAAGAGCUCAAAUUUGAAAUCUUCAAGGUUCUACCUUGACGAAUUGUAGUUUAAAGAAGUGUUUUCUGUUGGAGUUUUGGUAAAAGUUCUUUGGAAUAGGACAUCAUAGAGGGUGAGAAUCCCGUAUUUGACCAUUAUUUCCAACUUUGUGAUACACUUUCAAAGAGUCGGAUUGUUUGGGAAUGCAGUCCAAAAUGGGUGGUAAAUUUCAUCUAAAGCUAAAUAUUGGCGAGAGACCGAUAGCGAACAAGUACCGUGAGGGAAAGAUGAAAAGAACUUUGAAAAGAGAGUUAAACAGUACGUGAAAUUGUCAAAAGGGAAGCGUUUGACACCAGUGUUGUUUUCUCGAAAAUCAAUUAAAAAUGAUUGGAUUUUGUGUUGUAUUGACUUUAUCAGCUUUCUGCACUCUUUUCUUAUCUUUUUAAUGCACUUCUCGUUUAACAAGUCAACAUCAAUUUCUUUUGUUGUAAAAGGGUCAUUGGAAGGUGGCUUUCUUUUCGGAGAAAGUGUUUAUAGCCUUUGGCUUCUGCAAUCGGAGAGAUUGAGGUCUGCAGCGUAGAUCCUUCGGGGUUAGAUACAUUUGUGCUAAGUUAUAGCCUUUCAUAGACAACUUGUUGACUAUGAUCAGUCAUGUAGCUUACUCGCUUAUGCUAUUUUACCUACGCUUAGGAUGUUGACGAUCAGCUGAGCGCG
rnacentral:rRNA from 1 species